rnacentral:ncRNA from 1 species
GAAGUAGGCAAGCCAGAUCCAUAACUUUGGGAUAAAGAUUGGUUCUAAGGGCUGGGCAUGAACUGCAGCUGGAUGAGGGACCACCCUCUCCUUGGGGGGGAAGGGGGAGGCAGCAACUCUUGACACAAGCCAGGCCCUUCCUGUGGAUUGUCGCAGCUGUGGUGGGUGUUGCUCACCUCUCCCCCUCAGUGGGGUUAGGGGGCACUGUCAUUCUGCCUUGACUGGUGCCUAGCAGCUGACUUAGAACUGGUGCAGGCCAGGGGGAUCUGACUGUUUAAUGAAAACAAAGCAUCACAAAGGACUGCAGUAGGUGUUGACUCAAUGUGAUUUCUGCCCAGUGCUCUGAAUGUCAAAGUGAAGAAAUUCAAUGAAGCGCAGGUAAAUGGCAGGACUGUCUUAACCAACCCUGUAAUUUGGAAAGGGUCUGAGGAAGGCAGCCCAUUUAAAUCUGUCCCCUGGAAAGAGUAGCUUCCUCCAUGUAUAUGUGUUUCUCUGUGGUAAGGGAUAGAUUCCCCUUGUGAUGGGUUGUAUCUUUUAAAUUUACGGAGAAUUUAAAUAAUACUGUUCCUUAUACUAGAUUGGCACUGGACUGGGUUAACAAUAUCCCACUGC